ensembl:lncRNA
GUGUGUUUCGGAAUGGUUUGACUGUAGGUUGGUCUGUUGGUCACUCCGUGAAGACUGAGUGUCUUUUUUUCCCCGCAAACAGGUGGUUACGGUCAGCUUCCAUACAAUGGCGCCCCAGUCUUCCCAGCUGGGCUAGAGGGUAAGUGUGUGUGUGUGCCUUUAGUUUGUGUGUGUGUGUGUAUGUGUUAUUUUACUGUCAAGGUGAUAAUGUAUGACUCCCGAAUCCCGCAGGUGAUGGUGGGUACCCAUAUGGUGCCGCUCAGCAACUCGGCAUGGGGGCUGAUGCAGGCAAAUCUGCCAGCAAAUAUGGGGACGCUGGGGCCGCACUCGGUGCCCAGCCUAAUGGACCACAGACUGGGGGCAAACCUAAUUGCAAAACUGGUAACGGCCGAGGAAAUGGACGAUCUCAGCCAGCUGCGUAUGCUGGGCCCCUUGCAGCCAGCCAGGGUGGCUACGG